rnacentral:lncRNA from 1 species
CUUCUUCUUGGUUUGGAAAUGGCAUCGGAGUGAGCUUUGAGGUUAGCGGAAGCUGGAACCAAGUUCUAAUGAACCUGGCUCUGAUACCAUAUGAGAAUUAAGAGUACUCAGGUUGUAUGUGUGUGUGAAACCCAAAUGGGUAAAGAGAGUGUGGUUGGACACAAGAUAUGAGAAUUAAGAGUACUCAGGUUGUAUGUGUGUGUGAAACCCAAAUGGGUAAAGAGAGAGAGCUUGGAAGAGAUUUGAGAGAAAGUAAGUUUAAUGAGUGCUUGUGUGUCUAAGUGUUUUAAGAGAUUAGUAACAAGACUGAGAACGUGUGUAGAGAUUCAGGAUGAGAGACUAGAGAGACUAAGAGAAGUGUUUCAGAUUAGAGAAGGAGAGGGGAAACCCCCUUACUCACUUAAGAGUUACAAAACAUCACUUAUGAGCUUAUAUAUGCUCUUUACAACUUGCAAUCAUAAACCUAAAUCUAAGGGCUGUUAUAACUUGAAUUUAAAUGGAUGGAUGAGAUGGAAAGAUGGUCUUGGUCGUGGCUGACUCUUCCUGAUGGAUAAUUGGUCCAUUUGAAUCUGGUCAAGGGAAGGCUGGCUCCUUAUUGGCUAGCUAAAGGCUCCCAUGAAUCUGCCCACUUCUUUUGCUAGAUACAUGGUCUCCUUUUGCUUUUACUUUACAGCAAGGGACUUUCCUUUCCAGCCUGUCACUUGCCAGCCUCUCCUUUGUCUUCUUCUCUUAAGAGUUUCACCAGCCUCUCCUUUGUCUUCUUCUCUUAAGAGUUUUGUCUUCUUCUCUUAAGAGUUUUGUGUUCUCUUACUGUGGUAACUCUCCAAAGUUACUGUGGUAACUUUGGAGUUACUGUCUCAACCAAAUAUUCUCCAAAUGGUGUCUAAGUCCCUCCUGGACUUAAACCCAAUCUUGUACAGCCAUAAGAUCAGUUCUUGACUUCUUAAGACCCUCCUGAAGCUUGACAGACAAUCUCUGUAAGACUUGCCCUCUCUUUGCACUAGAACCAAACUACUCCAUACUUCUCCUUUCACUCCAUUUCUAUUCUUCAAGUUAACAUUCUAGAGCUUGCCCUAUCAAUAGACAAGCUCCAUCUUCUCUUCAGUUCAACAC